AGGGGUGUGCAAAAUAACCGAUUACAUGGUCAAAUCCACAAUCACAUCCAGAUCCAAUCUUAAAAAUCCGGAUAAUUCUAAAGUGGUAUUUAACCAAUCCAUUUACAUCUGGUUGGUUAUCCAUAUAUGAAAACCGGUUAUUUAACCGGAUGUCCAUAUCCAAAACCAAUUUUUAGUGUGUUUUUUUUUUUUUUGGGGACCAAUUUCCUUAUUGUUAAUGACAACAACCUCAAAUUCAAUUUUUUUCACAAAAUUGGAACAAUUUUUAGAUUCAUGAUUUCUAUAAAAUUUACAAUCAACAAAUUGAUAAAUAACAGGGGGAGAGAAACAGAGAGAAAGAGCGUGAGAGAACAGUGGUCGAAACGCGCCGACAGACAUGCCGGAGUUGCGGCUGUAAACUUCCAUCCCUUUCUUAUUGUUCAAUUUGCAAUCAUGUACAAAGCACAGAUCUAAAAAACUAGAGAGGGAGAGAGAAGGAGAAACACACAAGCAGUGAGUGAGUGAGAGAGAGAGAGAGCAUAACAGUGGAGGUGAAACCACACUAAAAGAGAUGAACGCCGCCGCACGGCGUUGUUAUUUACUUGGUUUCUAUUUUUUCAUCAAUUUUCUUUUCUUUUCUUUAUAAUAAGUUUUGUAUAUAAUUUUCAGUUUAUUAUUUUUAUACAGUAUAUGGCCAUUAUUAUUUAUU
rnacentral:lncRNA from 1 species